rnacentral:rRNA from 1 species
GAAUGGGGAAACCCAGUGUGACUCGUCACACUAUCAUUAACUGAAUCCAUAGGUUAAUGAGGCGAACCGGGGGAACUGAAACAUCUAAGUACCCCGAGGAAAAGAAAUCAACCGAGAUUCCCCCAGUAGCGGCGAGCGAACGGGGAGGAGCCCAGAGCCUGAAUCAGCAUGUGUGUUAGUGGAAGCGUCUGGAAAGGCGCGCGAUACAGGGUGACAGCCCCGUACACAAAAGCGCAUGUGCUGUGAGCUCGAUGAGUAGGGCGGGACACGUGGUAUCCUGUCUGAAUAUGGGGGGACCAUCCUCCAAGGCUAAAUACUCCUGACUGACCGAUAGUGAACCAGUACCGUGAGGGAAAGGCGAAAAGAACCCCGGCGAGGGGAGUGAAAAAGAACCUGAAACCGUGUACGUACAAGCAGUGGGAGCACCCUUUUGGGUGUGACUGCGUACCUUUUGUAUAAUGGGUCAGCGACUUAUAUUCUGUAGCAAGGUUAACCGAAUAGGGGAGCCGAGGGAAACCGAGUCUUAAUUGGGCGUUAAGUUGCAGGGUAUAGACCCGAAACCCGGUGAUCUAGCCAUGGGCAGGUUGAAGGUUGGGUAACACUAACUGGAGGACCGAACCGACUAAUGUUGAAAAAUUAGCGGAUGACCUGUGGCUGGGGGUGAAAGGCCAAUCAAACCGGGAGAUAGCUGGUUCUCCCCGAAAGCUAUUUAGGUAGCGCCUCGUGAAUUCAUCUCCGGGGGUAGAGCACUGUUUCGGCUAGGGGGCCAUCCCGGCUUACCAACCCGAUGCAAACUGCGAAUACCGGAGAAUGUUAUCACGGGAGACACACGGCGGGUGCUAACGUCCGUCGUGAAGAGGGAAACAACCCAGACCGCCAGCUAAGGUCCCAAAGUCAUGGUUAAGUGGGAAACGAUGUGGGAAGGCCCAGACAGCCAGGAUGUUGGCUUAGAAGCAGCCAUCAUUUAAAGAAAGCGUAAUAGCUCACUGGUCGAGUCGGCCUGCGCGGAAGAUGUAACGGGGCUAAACCAUGCACCGAAGCUGCGGCAGCGACACUAUGUGUUGUUGGGUAGGGGAGCGUUCUGUAAGCCUGUGAAGGUGUGCUGUGAGGCAUGCUGGAGGUAUCAGAAGUGCGAAUGCUGACAUAAGUAACGAUAAAGCGGGUGAAAAGCCCGCUCGCCGGAAGACCAAGGGUUCCUGUCCAACGUUAAUCGGGGCAGGGUGAGUCGACCCCUAAGGCGAGGCCGAAAGGCGUAGUCGAUGGGAAACGGGUUAAUAUUCCCGUACUUGGUGUUACUGCGAAGGGGGGACGGAGAAGGCUAUGUUGGCCGGGCGACGGUUGUCCCGGUUUAAGCGUGUAGG